AGUGAACGCUGGCGGUAGGCCUAACACAUGCAAGUCGAACGGCAGCACAGUAAGAGCUUGCUCUUACGGGUGGCGAGUGGCGGACGGGUGAGGAAUACAUCGGAAUCUACUUUUUCGUGGGGGAUAACGUAGGGAAACUUACGCUAAUACCGCAUACGACCUACGGGUGAAAGCAGGGGAUCUUCGGACCUUGCGCGAUUGAAUGAGCCGAUGUCGGAUUAGCUAGUUGGCGGGGUAAGGGCCCACCAAGGCGACGAUCCGUAGCUGGUCUGAGAGGAUGAUCAGCCACACUGGAACUGAGACACGGUCCAGACUCCUACGGGAGGCAGCAGUGGGGAAUAUUGGACAAUGGGCGCAAGCCUGAUCCAGCAAUACUGCGUGGGUGAAGAAGGCCUUCGGGUUGUAAAGCCCUUUUGUUGGGAAAGAAAAGCAGCAGGUUAAUACCCCGCUGUUCUGACGGUACCCAAAGAAUAAGCACCGGCUAACUUCGUG
rnacentral:rRNA from 1 species